AUUGAACGCUGGCGGCAUGCUUUACACAUGCAAGUCGAACGGUAACAGGCCGCAAGGUGCUGACGAGUGGCGAACGGGUGAGUAAUGCAUCGGAACGUGCCCAGUCGUGGGGGAUAACGCAGCGAAAGCUGUGCUAAUACCGCAUACGAUCUAUGGAUGAAAGCGGGGGACCGUAAGGCCUCGCGCGAUUGGAGCGGCCGAUGUCAGAUUAGGUAGUUGGUGGGGUAAAGGCCCACCAAGCCAACGAUCUGUAGCUGGUCUGAGAGGACGACCAGCAACACUGGGACUGAGACACGGCCCAGACUCCUACGGGAGGCAGCAGUGGGGAAUUUUGGACAAUGGGCGCAAGCCUGAUCCAGCAAUGCCGCGUGCAGGAAGAAGGCCUUCGGGUUGUAAACUGCUUUUGUACGGAACGAAACGGUCUGGGUUAAUACCCUGGGCUAAUGACGGUACCGUAAGAAUGAGCACCGGCUAACUACGUGCCAGCAGCCGCGGUAA
rnacentral:rRNA from 1 species